GACGAACGCUGGCGGCGUGCCUAAUACAUGCAAGUAGAACGCUGAAGGAGGAGCUUGCUUCUCUGGAUGAGUUGCGAACGGGUGAGUAACGCGUAGGUAACCUGCCUGGUAGCGGGGGAUAACUAUUGGAAACGAUAGCUAAUACCGCAUAAUAGCAGUUGUUGCAUGACAACUGUUUGAAAGGUGCAAUUGCACCACUACCAGAUGGACCUGCGUUGUAUUAGCUAGUUGGUGGGGUAACGGCUCACCAAGGCGACGAUACAUAGCCGACCUGAGAGGGUGAUCGGCCACACUGGGACUGAGGCACGGCCCAGACUCCUACGGGAGGCAGCAGUAGGGAAUCUUCGGCAAUGGACGGAAGUCUGACCGAGCAACGCCGCGUGAGUGAAGAAGGUUUUCGGAUCGUAAAGCUCUGUUGUAAGAGAAGAACGAGUGUGAGAGUGGAAAGUUCACACUGUGACGGUAUCUUACCAGAAAGGGACGGCUAACUACGUG
rnacentral:rRNA from 1 species